ACGCCAGACUCCUACGGGAGGCAGCAGUGGGGAAUAUUGCACAAUGGGGGGAACCCUGAUGCAGCGACGCCGCGUGGGUGAAGAAGUCAUUCGUGACGUAAAGCCCUAUCAGCAGGGAAGAAAAUGACGGUACCUGACUAAGAAGCCCCGGCUAACUACGUGCCAGCAGCCGCGGUAAUACGUAGGGGGCGAGCGUUAUCCGGAUUCACUGGGUGUAAAGGGAGCGUAGACGGCCGUGCAAGCCAGGAGUGAAAGCCCGGGGCCCAACCCCGGGACUGCUCUUGGAACUGUGCGGCUAGAGUGCGGGAGGGGCAGGCGGAAUUCCUGGUGUAGCGGUGAAAUGCGUAGAUAUCAGGAGGAACACCGGCGGCGGAGGCGGCCUGCUGGACCGCGACUGGCGUUGAGGCUCGAAAGCGUGGGGAGCGAACAGGAUUAGAUACCCCGGUAAAA
rnacentral:rRNA from 1 species